UCAUCGCACACACAUGAAUGUGCAGCAAACCCGGUUUAGGCGAAUCAAAACAUUGUCCCACUAUCAAAACUUGUGUCCCGGUCGGGCCUCCUCUUCUUCUUCGGGGGUCCCUUGCUCCGCACCUGCUGCGGGGGAGGGGGCCGCGAGAGCUCGAACGAGGGAGGGGGGGUCCCGCCCCCGGGAUCGAGUAACCACAUUGAUCGCGCAAUGCAUCAACACUUUGACACAUGACUGAGUCCCUAAAUACUUUUGUGGA
rnacentral:misc_RNA from 1 species